rnacentral:rRNA from 1 species
UCCCAGCAGUCCAAGUCGCAACCACAUUUGUUGGGUCUAAAACAUCCGUAGCUUGCUAAGUGAGUCUCUUGUGAAAUCCUGCCUCUUAAGGGUAGAACUGCAAGAGAUACUGCUUGGCUAGAGACCGGGAGACGUAACGAGUACUGAUAGGGAAGCGGUAAAAUGUGUUGAUCCUAUCUGGACUACCAACAGCGAAGGCACGUUACGAGCACGGAUCUGACAGUGAGGGAUGAAGGCUAGGGGCGCAAAGUGG